AAUAGAAGGGUGUCUCCUAGAUGAAGGUUACUUCCUCAGAAGUGUUCUGUAGCCAGAGAUCCUAUUGCCAGUUGGCCAUGAUUGUUAAUGGUGAACCCCCUGAAAUGCUGACAUUGAAUGCCUCUUGCACAAUGUGGUUCUUCUGUAAGACUUGGAAGGAACAAGGAAAAAGGGGACUGUGGCACACCAUGCAUGAGGAAAAGACAAGGACCUGACUGUCUAGGUUGAAGAAGAGGAGCCUCAGAUCCCUAAAUUACCUCUUCAAUUACUUGAAGUGUACUAUACAGAAGAUGAAUCCAGACUCUUCUCAGAAAAGCACGUGUGCAAGGUGAAAUGAGCACAAAUUGCAGCAAGAAAUUUUCCACCUAGAUAAAAGGAAGAACAAAUGUCACAAUCAGAAUGGUCAAACACUGCGACCAGCAUACAAAGAGGCUGUGAAGUCUCUGUUCUAGGAAACAUUCAGAGCAGAGCUAGAUACAGCAACCCAAAUUUGAGUACAGUCCCAUUCUGAGAAGGAGAUUAGACCAGAUGGUCUCCUCAAAUUUGAAUAUACAAUUUUGAGUGUACCAUAAUUUAUACACCAAAACUGCAACUCAGACUAUUAAUAGAGUGUUUUCUUCAAAGUGAAUUUAUCUUUAACUGUACUGAAUGUUAGACCAAAGCUGAUUCGUUCUACCAGCAGUCUAACCAAAUAGUUUCUCAAUUUAGUUGUGCUGUAAAUGUCUUAGUCUCCUGAAGAUGGAAGACAGUAGGCAAUUCACACAAAGAGGCAUUAAAAACAGUAAUCUUGGUUAAAUAUCUAAUUUAUGAAGUUUCAUGAAUGGUAAUGGGUGUUAGAGAUGUAAAAUCUAAGUGUUACCUCAAAGACAAUGUGGUAACCUGAGAUCACCCUUCAUGGAGGGUAUGGAAGUAUGUGGGUAAAGUCAGAUAAAAUGGCGACAGUGCCUUUUCCAGCAGCUUUGUGGAUUUGUUCUGGUAUGUUUUUUUUUUUUUUAAUUGUUUUUGGAAUGCAGUGUCUAAAUUCAUUCAGUUUGACUCUUGUGCUGUGACAGCUGAUUUGGAGUGAGGACAGAAAUAUGCAAGUAUUGCAUUCAUUCUCUUAUCCUGUUUGCUAUUCUCAGCCCCAGGUUUAGAGACACCCAAGAUCUAGAGCUAGUGCUGUGUGAUUGUAUGACAGUCUUCCUAUCACACAGAUUAACUUAUUAAUGACACAGAACUCCAGUUGGGAGUGUAAUCUGCAAUGCUGAGUACUAGACAAUCAGAAAACCUCCUUAUAUGUUCUGCAUAACAAACCUGAGGAGUAACAUAGCAGCAAGCAUCCAUUGGCCUUGAACUCAUCCCAGUUUAGCAGCCACUGGGCUCGGUAACCAGUCAGCCUUAGUAGUAACGAGUAAUGAAGCAAACAAACAAAAAAUACUUUGACUCAGUACAUUUCACUGCUUCCUUACUAGAGUGAAAGUGUUUUGUCCUUUCAGUUUAACACAAGUUAGUAACGCUAAUUUUUUGAAUAAAAAGCUAAAACCAAAGAUGUGUCUUACUAACAAGAAGCUGAAGUAAAUAGCCCCUUUCUUGCUUUCUUGCACUUUUGAUUGUAACAAAGUGAUAGUGGACAAGCUGUAGUGACAUGCAAAUCCUUAAGUCGUUAACUUGCAAAGCAUGAGAGCACUACCCACGUUCCAUAAAAGAGACUGGAAAAUCGGUGUUGAUCCCUUCUCUCUCGCCACACCUCAGCAGAUGCAGGUGUUGUUCUGAAAAUAGAGUAAAACUUCACAUUUUUUUAGAACUAGACCAGAGCACAGUAUUAAUCUCUCACUUUAGAUUAGCAAAUGUAACGAUCCUUGUCUACUUUCAUUUGUGUUAUCUUUUUGUCCCAGAAGGGGAGUGUUUUCUUGCCAAGAGAAGGAAAAAGCUAAAAUGUUUUCCAGGUUAUGUCAUAAUAACAAACCUCAGAUCCACUACAUGAGAGAAUAGCGUAAGAGAAAUGUUAACAAGCCAGUAAUAAUGAUGAACAGGAGUGCAAUCUAACAGCCCUUACACUACAAUGAAUUUUCUGAAAGAAUAAUGAGGUUCAAGUGCAGCUGCUGGGUUGGGAUGCUAUAUACUGUGAUGCUGAACUUUGAGUACCAAGUUAAUGAUCUGAAGAUACCCCAAACGCCCCUUCUGAAAAUAUUGGCCAUAGAUUUUCUACACUGACGUUUAAGUUAAAGUCAUGCUGACCCCAGAAUAAAGGGCAAAGAGAGUCCUGUUAAACUUUUGUAAACAUUUUUUGUUUUUCUACUCUAAGAUCUUGUCUCUGGUAAGAGAGCUUAUAUGUCCUUGUAGUAUUUCCAAAAUGUAAACUUGUGCUUAAGGACAUUGUUCAGGUUCCUCAAAGUUAAUAUUUUUUUUUAGUGUCCACAAUUCCAAAUAAAACACAAUUGUUC
ensembl:lncRNA